UGGGGAAUUUUGGACAAUGGGCGAAAGCCUGAUCCAGCAAUGCCGCGUGUGUGAAGAAGGCCUUCGGGUUGUAAAGCACUUUUGUCCGGAAAGAAAUCCUUGGCUCUAAUACAGUCGGGGGAUGACGGUACCGGAAGAAUAAGCACCGGCUAACUACGUGCCAGCAGCCGCGGUAAUACGUAGGGUGCAAGCGUUAAUCGGAAUUACUGGGCGUAAAGCGUGCGCAGGCGGUUUGCUAAGACCGAUGUGAAAUCCCCGGGCUCAACCUGGGAACUGCAUUGGUGACUGGCAGGCUAGAGUAUGGCAGAGGGGGGUAGAAUUCCACGUGUAGCAGUGAAAUGCGUAGAGAUGUGGAGGAAUACCGAUGGCGAAGGCAGCCCCCUGGGCCAAUACUGACGCUCAUGCACGAAAAGCGUGGGGAGCAAACAGGAUUAGAUACCCUGGUAGUCCACGCCCUAAACGAUGUCAACUAGUUGUUGGGGAUUCAUUUCCUUAGUAACGUAGCUAACGCGUGAAGUUGACCGCCUGGGGGAGUACGGUCGCAAGAUUAAAACUCAAAUGAAUUGACGGGGUCAUAGCUGUUUCCU
rnacentral:rRNA from 1 species